UGUGUUGGGUCUGAUCCAAAGCUCAUUUAAAUAGAUGGGAAUCUUUCCAUUGACUUUAUUGGGCUUUGGUUCAGACUCUAACUCA
rnacentral:pre_miRNA from 1 species